ensembl:lncRNA
CCAUCAUUUCAGCCGAACGGCGUAUUUUCUUGUUCAGCAUUGAUAGAUUUUUUUUUUAACCUUAGAAGUUCCUCUCGAGGGACUCUAUUAGGGAUGCUGUCAUUUUUUAUUCUGCUCUGUUACCUCUCCUUUGUAAACUUUGAUGUAUGCAGACAACACAUUUCCGGCUAGGGAAAUUUAAUUAGAGCAGCAAGAGAGAUCUAUCAUAAAGAGCAACCCAAGUCCUGCCAGCUUCCUGAGCAAGAAGAAAGGGCACCUCAAUCACUGGCCUUCCAAGACGACAAGGAGGAAAAGCACCUAUCGAACUUCUGAUGUUCCUCAUACAUAUAUAUGUUUUUUGGCUGAGGAAGAUUCACCCUGAGCUAACAUCUGUGCCUAUUCUCCUCUAUUUUGUAUGUGGGUCACUGCCACGGCAUGGCUGCUAAAGAGUGGUGUAGGUCCACAUGGGGGAACCGAACCUGAGCCACCCAAGCAGAGUGUGCCAAACUUAACAACUAGGCCAUGGGGCCGGCCCCUCAUAUUCGUUAUAUUUAACCACCCUUGACUGUUGACUUGAUAACAGAAGUUUUGUGCUGAAACCUUGGUCGACUAAAGGCAUCUGUCAGGACUAGGGAAAUACAGAGGGUGCUCCAGAUGAACGCUGCUCCGUCUCCUCACCCACUAGGCUCCAUCUUACUGCAACUCACUUCAUUAUCUGCUUGGGUGAUUUCUGGAACCAGAGAAAACAGGGCAAGAGUCCUGGGGGCAGACACAUAAUUUAUCAACAUAAAUUUUAGUCUCACCACUGAUCUUUCCUCCCCUUUUGGAAACUUCAGAGAGAGUUGAGCAGGCUAGUGAGAUUCCAGGCUGGAUGGUUGCCAUUUAUAAAUAGCAUUACAAGAACGCUACCCAGAGUUCUUUUGAUUUGCCAGCAUCUAUCAGUUGGAUACAAUGAUCAGACAGAUAAUGGAGUUGCUACUUGGAGAAUGUCCCUUUGUGUAGCAGAGAAGGCUGAGUUUGCCCAGGAUAUAUUUAUUGGCUGAGUGACAGCUCUGCAUGCCCUGAAUCAAGGUGUGGCACUGCCGGCGGAUGCUAUGGAGAACUCAGCUGGAACAAAGUGUCACAUCACAUGUUGCCACGGAAGCAGCGUCUUGACCGAGUGGUACCUGUAAAAGGGAAAUGUUUAACGAUGAAUAACUUUGUUUGAAGCUCUGCUCACUCCACAUUUCCAUGCAAAAUGAAACCACAGGAGGCAUGAAAAUCUCCAAAGGGCCUUUAUACAUAGAUUAAUGUGGUAAUUCUCUCAUUACUAUGUUCUGAAGAAGAGCUUCUUACACCAGGCUCUGUGCUUUGCCUUCAGUUAUAACAUGGCUUUGCAUUAAGUGUUUUAAUAAAAUGUGAAAUUAAAUGAUCAUCCCUGGUGAUAUGCAGCUUUUGGUUGAAGUAAGGAAAAAUGUAACUUCUACAGUGCAUGAAAGCCAAAGAGAUUAUUUUGCCUCCAAUGAAGAGAUCAUUGGUCAAAUGACGUGGUUUCCUACGGGUCUGCCUCUCUCCAUUAAUUGGGAAUUUGUUAUUACUCUCUCUUUCACUUUUAGAAUUACAAACAAUGUAACCAAUUUAUAGCAAUGGAAUAGGCAUGCCGUUAGAAGCGAACCAGUUUAAUUUAUUCUUUUUUGUACAUUUAGCCAGGUAUUGG